CAAUAGCGUAUAUUAAAGUUGUUGCAGUUAAAAAGCUCGUAGUUGGAUUUCGGGGCAGCCUGGCUGGUCCGCCGCAAGGCGAGUACUGGUCAGCCGCCCUUCCUCUCGAAAGCCCCGACUGCUCUUUAUUGCAGUGGUCGGGUAGUUCGGGACGUUUACUUUGAAAAAAUUAGAGUGUUCAAGGCAGGCCUACGCCCGAAUACAUUAGCAUGGAAUAAUGGAAGAGGACCUCGGUCCUAUUUUGUUGGUUUCCAGGACCGAAGUAAUGAUUAAGAGGGACAGUUGGGGGCAUUCGUAUUUAAUUGUCAGAGGUGAAAUUCUCGGAUUUAUGAAAGACGAACAACUGCGAAAGCAUUUGCCAAGGAUGUUUUCAUUAA
rnacentral:rRNA from 1 species